AAACCGAACUGCUAAGUAGCGCCUGGACUGGCUUUUUUGCCGGUUGUCUACACACUCUCUCGGGUCCUGAUCAUCUUGCUGCCUUAGCUCCCUUAACCAUCGGUCGAACAAGAGUUGAAAGUGCUGUCGUUGGUGCCCUCUGGGGCUGUGGACACGAUGCAGGCCAAAUGAUAUUCGGACUGCUUUUCCUGCUGCUCAAGGAUCGGUUGCACAUUGAAGUCAUCCGUGUAUG
rnacentral:misc_RNA from 1 species